UACGGAGGGUGCAAGCGUUAUCCGGAUUCACUGGGUUUAAAAGGGUGCGUAGGUGGGCAGGUAAGUCAGUGGUGAAAUCCUGUAGCUUAACUACAGAACUGCCAUUGAUACUAUUUGUCUUGAAUACCCUGGAGGUGAGCGGAAUAUGUCAUGUAGCGGUGAAAUGCUUAGAUAUGACAUAGAACAUCUAUUGCGAAGGCAGCUCACUACGGGAAUAUUGACGCUGAGGCACGAAAGCGUGGGGAUCAAACAGG
rnacentral:rRNA from 1 species